rnacentral:lncRNA from 1 species
UCUCUAUACUAUUUCACCAGUCUCCUCAUUAGAUAAAUGCCCUUUGUAAUAGAACUCCCGAAUAUUAAAUCCAAUUGGUUCUCAAAUGACACUCACACUCCCUCCUCACCCUUAUCUUUACCAUUAUUGUGCUUAGAAGCUUAGUCCCUCUAUAGCUAUUACAAUUUUGAAUGUCAUCCUUAUCCUUGUACAACAAAAUCAUCAUAUCUCACCUUCAUUUCUCAAGCAUCGUUAUUGUCUUAGAAAUGAAAUCAACAACAUAAUUAUCCAUUUCAAACUUUUUGUAUUCUUUUAAAAUUCUUUCAGGAUUUGGUCUAACCCAAUCGCUUUUCACAUGCUCAUUCUAUGAAUAACACUCCUAACCUCCUUCAUCUUCAGACAGUGCAGAAAUUCCAACAAUACUCAUGUGUUCUAAAUUACCCAAAAUAAAUGUGCUUAUUCCGAUCCUCGUUUAAGAGUUUAUUGAAGCAUGUUUGUUGCCUCUAUUGAUGAGUGUCUUGUCUACCAAUAUGUUAGCUCUUUUUAUAUUUGAUGCAUUUCACAUGAUUUUGAUCUCAGAUCUUCAUCUCAGGUCUUCCUCUCUCACCUUGGCUAAUAUGUAUUAUCUUUUAUCCUCACUCUAUUCCUCUAAUUCCUUAUAAAACCCCUUAAAAGUUAUCUUUGUUUAUCGUCCACCGCGAACAUUGCAUCCUUACUUGCCUUCUUAUAAUUUUUCUAUUAUCCGCUUUUACUCUUCGUUUUGCUCUCCAACAACUCCGAUUGUGCAACCUUUGUUUUCACUUUCCCUAUGAUUAGAUGUAAUUACACAUAUAAGCAUGUUUAUUUGACAAAUAAUUAUUUGGUCAAUAUGAAAUUAGAAAUAGCUGAGGACAAGUAGUUACAAUCUUCAAAUUUUAAGGGAGUGAGAAUUGGUAAUUACGUCAUUUCAUUCCAAUUAACUUUUUUAAUGUUUUUCUUUUAUGUUUUCAAGUAUUAUUCAAUAUUCGGUAUUUGCAUUUGAGUUCGACUAAUUUAAAUUUAUGCCGCAUAUGGCCCCACUCGGGGGGAAACGCUCUCUAUCAAGAAUUUUUUCAAAAUCAAGGCUCGAACCCGAGACAUCUUAUUAAGGGAGGAACAAGUAAUAGAGAAUUGUUAAAAAUCAAUGUUCAACCGCAUUUUUUAAAGUCAAAAUAGUAUAUAACUUGCAAUUUCGUGAUUUAAAUUCAUUCGUCCUGCACUUUUGUCCAUAUCAACAUUUAAUAGUUAAGUGUCACCACUCUAAUCGACACGACUCUAAUAUGAUUAGUGGAAAAUGAUUUGUGCUGUCACGAGAUCAAUAUUAUAAAAGUUAAUAAAGUUACUUUUUUAUUUGAUUUUUCUUGAUUUUUAUAUUAAAAAUAGUCAUGUUAUUUUACUUAUCUAGUCUUUGAAAUUAAGAAAAUUUUAUAUUUUUUAUUCUUA